GAUGAAGAACGUAGCGAAAUGCGAUAAGUAAUGUGAAUUGCAGAGUUCAGUGAAUCAUCGAAUCUUUGAACGCACAUUGCGCCCGCUAGUAUUCUGGCGGGCAUGCCUGUUCGAGCGUCAUUUCAACCAUCAAGCCCUAGGCUUGCGUUGGAGCCCUGCGGCUGCCGCAGGCUCCCAAAUCCAGUGGCGGGCUCGUCGUCGUACCGAGUGCAGUAAACAUCCUCGCUCAGGGAACGUGACGGGUUCUUGCCGUGAAACCCCCCACAUAUCAAGGUUGACCUCGGAUCAGGUAGGAAUACCCGCUGAACUUAAGCAUAUCAAUAAGCGGAGGA
rnacentral:misc_RNA from 1 species